rnacentral:rRNA from 1 species
GCAAGCGUUAUCCGGAAUCAUUGGGUUUAAAGGGUCCGCAGGCGGUCUUAUAAGUCAGUGGUGAAAGCCUACAGCUCAACUGUAGAACUGCCAUUGAUACUGUAAGACUUGAAUUCGAUCGAAGUGGGCGGAAUAUGACAUGUAGCGGUGAAAUGCUUAGAUAUGUCAUAGAACACCGAUAGCGAAGGCAGCUCACUAGGUCUGGAUUGACGCUCAGGGACGAAAGCGUGGGGAGCAAACAGG